rnacentral:lncRNA from 1 species
AUGUCACAGCCCUGGGCGCUCGGGGAUCUCCUCUCCCCUCACGCCGGUGGGAGAGGAAGGGAUCCCAAACGGCACCCUGUCCACCUCCGACGCCAACCGUCCCCUGGUGCAGAGGAAACCAGCUUUCUGCUGGUCGGAGGAGCGUUUCAGAAGAGGAAGCAAAAACCGAGCUGGAAGUGGAAGGCAGAGGAUGAUGCUGAACAUCCUUGGCUCAAGCACUGUGCUGAAGAGAUGAUCAUUUGGAUUCUGUUUAUGCAUGUUCCUCAGACAGGACGCUGCACUCAUCAUCAGAUCUUGGAGGAACGAUUUAGAAGGUUCCUAUUUUGGGGCCACCACUACGUCCAAAUCUCUGUGGUUUGCUAAGGUUUCCAAUGGGUCAGGGGGUUCCUCCCAAAGGCAAUUCAAAAAGCAAUGCGGACACUCAGCCUGGUCAGGGUGAGUUUCCUGACUAGCCUUCAGAUCAUGUCACAUCAGGACUCUGGAGACUUGGAACAGAAGCCUGCUCCCCAGAAGGUUUGAAUGCUG